GACGAACGCUGGCGGCGUGCUUAACACAUGCAAGUCGUACGGUAAGGCCCUUUCGGGUGUGCACGAGUUGCGAACGGAAGAGUAACACGUGAGUAACCUGCCCACAACCUUGGGAUAAGGCUAGGGAACUGGUGCUAGUACUGGAUAUGUUCUCCUGCGGCAUGGUGGUGGUUGGAAAGCUGCGGCGGUUGUGGAUGGACGCGCGGGCGAGCGGCUUGUUUGUGGGGUAGUGGCCUACCAAGGCGGCGACGGGUGGCCGGCCUGAGAGGGUGACCGGGCCCCGUGGGACUGAGAUACGGCCCAGACCCCUGCGGGAGGCAGCAGUGGGGAAUAUUGCAUGAUGGGCGGACGCCGGAUGCAGCAACGCGGCGUGCGGGAUGACGGCCUUCGUGUUGUAAACCGCUUUCCGCAGGGACGAAGCUUUUUGUGACGGUACCUGCAGAAGAAGCACCGGCUAACUACGUG
rnacentral:rRNA from 1 species